UGACCUCAAAUCGGGUGAGACUACCCGCUGAACUUAAGCAUACA
rnacentral:rRNA from 2 species